rnacentral:tRNA from 1 species
AGCAGCGUAGUACAAUGGUUAGGGAACUGGGCUUGUAGCUGAGAGGCUGCAGGUUCGACUCCCGCUGCUGUUG